AUAAUACGCAUCUGAAUCACGUGCUUGCACUAUGAACAAACCGCUAACUAAUUUUAAAAGAAAGCAAUUAACACCUGACGUAGUUAAGGGAUGAAAUAAGACAACGAGAGUGCACUUGGACCUCGAUGGUUCUUGAUAAACAAUCGUCUAAAUUUUCCACUCUUCGAUAUCGUGAAAUUCUUACGCAACAAACGACGGUCUACGAAAAGAAGUUCUGCAACUAAAAUUAACCGACCAGAUUCGAUUGUCCGAUUAUUAUGCACGUUUCAUAGGGUCGCAACGCAGCAUCCAAAUCGCUUCGUUUCUAUGAGAAUCGUGCGCCGUAGCCUCCUGAUUGGUUUACGCCGCGAGAAUUCACAAACUCGAAUUCCGUAGACGUAAUUGCCCGCGAAAACUGGGUCUCGUCGAUUGUCCGCUGGCCCGAGCGCUGCUCUCGUGUGUUCCAGAGGGACAUCUCGCGCUCGAAUAAUUCGUUUAAAAGCGUUACAGAUAGGACGGAACAGAGGAUCGAACGCUUGACAGCAAUUUGAGUGUGAACAUUCAUAAUAUACUUCUUGUAUAGUUCAAACGCGAAGAUGAAAAGGGUUAUUAAUAUAGCAAGGUCGUUGGCCCUUUGCCGCCAAUGAUCAGAUUGAUUUAUCGAGUAUGCAGCGACCAGAUCGAGCAUUGGUUCGUUCGCGGUAAAAUCGUUUUUACGCGUCUUUUUCUGGUAUUUUUCUAAACGUUUUAACUCUACGUUCUACAGGAUUUCCCCUUGUACGGUUCACGUAAUCGUUUAACGAAGAUCGACGGUAACAGUUGGCAAAUCAAUUCUACAACCGAGCUCGUUAACUAGAAAAAAAGCGAAGAAGAAAAAAAAAAAAAAGAAAAACGGUGGUCGAGCAAAUUUACCGGAUUUAUUUGCGCCCAUUCGACGAUUCGUUUCGCCUUUGCCGUUUGUGCCGAAUGGCGGGGCGAACAUCCGCGUCGAACAUCGAUUAUCAUUUCCAUUAUCGUCAAUUCGCAAUCAGACGCGCAGGCUGCACGACUGGUCGACCAGAAAUCGAUUAUAUCGCGCAAUAUUGCUGCGAUCGUGGCCCUUCUCUUCCUCGCCAAGUCAGCCUAUUAGAUACGAUGGUGUUCGUUUGAAAACCGCGGAAAGAAAGUUUAAAUCGUCGCAGCAUUGGGAUCUUCGAUCUCGGGAAUAAUUGCAACGCGUGGAAAUAUCGUGAUGUAUUUUGAAAUCUGUGCACGUCCGAUGAAUUUUGUCUCUUCGCGGCAGGCAAUAACAGAGCGAAAUAAAGUGACGAGCAAAAGCGUAGACGUACUACGCUAGUUUUACGCGAAAAGCGAUAAUACGAAUAGUUUUUUAAUAAUAGAAUUAGGUGAAUCUGAUUAAUAAAACGUAACAGUCUAGUGCCGUUAAUAUCGACGAUAUACGGAAUAUUUUUUAAAAAUAGGGAUUUGGAACAAUAUAAUUUCGCAGGUUUUGUCAAAAACGGAUAGAACAGCGAAUAAAUGUUUGAGAAUUGAUCGAAUUCUCAACGAAAACUGAUCGUUGACUAUCUCACAGUCAACUGUUCGACACCCUAGCGUAGUCAUUCUUCGGUUUGCGAAUUGUUUGACACGCUUCAUCCACGAUGAAGCCACUUAAGCAAGACAAUAAGAACAGUUUCUGUUCUCUUGUUAAUUUUAUCGAUGAACACGAAAUAGUAUUUCGACAAAACGGUGACCCUAAACAUACCGCAAAGGUAGGAAAAACCUGGCUCGAAAGUCCAAAGUUUUCCGUAACGAAGUGGUCAGUACAAAAAAUAUGAUAUUCGAUCGAUAAUUUGUAGUCCACUGUGGAAAAAAGCUGGCAAAGUAUAAGCUUUAUGGGUUCACGAGUUCACCCACCCUCCUCCGUGAACGAGUAAACGAGAGGGGGCUUGUGAUGUAUGCAUUCUCGGGCCCAGGGCCCCCUCUUGAUAUUAAUUUUGAAAACUUAGUUCAACGAGCAUAAUUAAAGCGCGAGAUUAUAAACUUUGUUCCAAAUCCAUACUUUUGUAAAAUAUUAUUUAUAUUGGGAUUAAUAUACGGGUACAUAUCAUGGACAUAUCCAUCGAAUAAAUUAUGUAUAUGGUAAGAGAAUGACGUAAAUAGUGGCAUAACAGCCAAUUAAAGAAAAUCACAAUAAUUUAAAUUAUUUUAAAUCGAAGUUCUCGUGUGUGUCGCGGAUUGGGAUGUUUAAGCUCGCACAUCCGCACAUGGAGUUAACGUGAUUUUCAACCGGAAAAGGUGUUGAUUAUCAAUGAUACAUGUGUGUUCAUUGUGUUAAAAACACAAGUUUGUCUGUGGAAAAGUGUAAACACAUUCCACUUGAAUAAAAGAGAAGAACAUAUGCUUCAUCCGCUAGAAUUGUUUUGGGAAUAUUAAUACGUUCCAUUCUUAAAUUCUCUUGCUUUUUGCGCUUUCUACUGAUAACCUUAGAGUAUAAAUGUGCUAAGGUCAAUAAAACUUAAUUAAUACCUCGUUUUGCAACACUAAGUUUUAUUAACCUUAGCAUAUUUAUAUACAUUCUAAGGCUAUCUAUAGAAAGGAGGAAAAACAAAAGAAUUUAAGAAUAGAACGUAUUAAUAUUCCCAAAACAAUUCUAGUAGAUGAAGCAUGUGUUCUUCUCUUUUAUUAUACAAGUGGAGUGUGUUUACGAUUUUGCUCACCACUAUAUAUAAAACAGAAUCUCGAUAAUCGAAUAAUCGGACAUUGAAAGACUUGGAUAAUACCGUAGUCUUCAUAAAUCGUAUAAUAAAAUGAUAGAAAAAAAAAAAAACAUUUUGAUAAUUUAACGUCGUGCGUGUAUUUAAGUUUCAUUAAUUACCUAAUCAGGUGAAAGUUUGAUCGAUCGUUUUCGCAAUACCUGACUAUUUACACUUUCGUAGUUCUCGUGUUAAAAUUUCGAAAGAGACAAAAUAAUAAUAAAAGUUGGAAGCUGCACGGAUAAUACGAAACAUUGAUUAAACGGGGCUCGGAUACCCGAGACUCCAUCGUAAUAGAAAUGUAAUAAUAAUUCGAACUUUAUACGUAUGAUAUCCCUUUGUUGUUAUUUCAAUAUUUCUAAUGAAUUUCAUUCCGACGUUUCUAUAUUUCUAUGGCUCGUACGAGCUUCGCAAAUUAAAAAGUUACAUAAAUACACGUAAAUGCAGAGAGAUAUAACACACGUAACUAAAAUUUAUAGCCUUUUUCAUUUUCCAUUUUAUUCCUCCCGAGGAAACAGGUACAAAAGGGAUAAACGAUGCGAAAUAGAACGAAAUAUGCGAUAUUAACUCACCAUGACCUAUUAAAUUUCCGAUACACUGUCGCACGAUAUUUAAUAUGCAACAUUCGAUAUUAAAUCGAUGAAAUUUCCUUUUUUCUCAACAAAAUCGUAAACGCGUAUAUAUAGUUUCUCAAUAAAAAAAAAAAAAAAAAAGAAAAAAUUCACCUAUUUAAUAAAACUAAUUUCCAUGCGUUCCAACGUUAUUCCUCGUCUUUUUAUCGAUCUCUUAUUAACCCAGUAGAAUUUUCUCCGCCUCUGAUACAGAAUCGAAUCGACUAAUAAUUCAAACCUUUCGUCAAGAACUUUCUUCCCCAUUUAUUCAACGUUAGCCCGUUUCAAUCUAGCGCCAAUGAAAAAGACUUCCAAAGAAACGGAACCUAAACUCGUACGAUCGGCCUCUCACGAUCUCUCGAGUAUCCACACUUCCUCGAAAGCAUCUUCCAAACCUUUUUAAUACCAGCGCUCGUUUCCAUUCUCCGAUCGAUAUCCUCUCACAAAAGGUAAAUGACUAAAAAAUAAAGAGAAAGGGAGAGAGGAAAAAGAUGGAUAAAAGUUUAACGAAGGUUCGUGACACCCCGUUGGAAAGGUUAAGCUCUGCCGAUCGCACUGUUGCAAACUUUUAUACCGGGAUUAAUGGUUAUUUAAUAGUCGAAGGCACACAGGCCUCGUUACGGAAACGUUCUUGUUGUUUUUCCGCUUGUAUGAGUACCUAAAGCGAUCUUCUUUUGAGAAUCUUUAAUUAGAAACACGCUGGCUUUGUUGGUCCCUUGUAAACGUUACGUCUCCGAAAAACGAGAUGAUCAAUAAGCUAGACGCGGUGUUUUGUCUAGCUUCCUUUCUUUUCUGUUUCUUUUUCUCGUUUCUUAUUUGCAAAUUCUGGCGGCUGAUAUUUGUUGGGUUAUUUAGACGACACCCGUACGAUGUGUAUAGGUAUAAAGCUACGAAGCUCUGUGAAUUAUAUUCCAAGCUUUUCUUCCCCGCGAAUGUUUGGUCUUUUAUCGGUAAUUCGAUCAUUUUAUUGGUCGAUAAUUUUAUCAUUUUCUUCAACAAUUUUGUAUUUCAAUUAUACCUAAAACAUAUGAUCUGUCGUUUGAUUUAAGCACAGCUUUCCCGUCCCUUUUGACUCAGAUUUCCUAAACUUUGGCCACAGGCCAGUCAUUUGAUACGUGUCCGUUUCGCGGUUAAACUAAAUGUUUAAUAUAUAUACAUUAACAUUUAGUUGAUUAGUAACGCGAUUAACGGUAACAUAUAUAUAUAUAUAUAUAAACAUUUAGUUUAACCGCGAAACGGACAUGUGUCAAAUGACUGGCCUGUGGCCAAAGUUCAGGAAAUCUGAGGCGAAAGAGACGGGAAAGCUGUGCUUAAAUCAAACGACAGAUUGUCAUGUUAAAAAAAUCACGUUAUUGUGAAGUGUACAAAGAAAUCAAAUGAAUCUUCCAUGGUAAUGGCGGAGCUAAAUAUUUUUUAUUUGACUAUGUCAUUAACAUGGGAAAUCCGUUUAGUUUCAUAACAUUGGAUUUUAAAGUGUGAACAAUCGCGAAUAACGUUUGGAAAAUGGCAAUUAUUCGAUAUCGUCCUAGUUGACGUGAAUAGGCCGUGAUAUUGCCGACUGUCCAGUGUGGCGGCCGGAGAUAUAGUUAGUGUUGUUACUUGUGGUUGGUGCGCUAAACUCUGGGGGUUUCCCGCUGGUGAGGAGCCGCCCGCUAUAGAUUCUGCUGCUGCUGGGGUACUGGCUGCAUUUCUUCUCAUUUAUGUAUCGUAGAAGAAAAGUCGCACGACUACGAUUGGUCGCCGGGAUUCGAACCCGGGUCCCCUACGUUUGAAACCUUAGGCGCUAA